rnacentral:lncRNA from 1 species
AAAUUUUUUUAAGUGAAUUUAAUAAGUAAUUUGGUGGAACUUUACCCUAAAAAUGUUUUUCUUAUCAGCAAGAGAAUUUUGAUGAGCUUUAGAAGAUGAUGGGAGAAAUGAUUAAUUUAUUGAAAUAAUACUAAUGUAUCGAUCAUGUUUCAAUUCAUAGAGCGGCCAGGCUAUAUAUAUUGGAUACAUUGGAUGAAUUGAUUAGGCCAAUCCACUGAGAACAAACUCUAAUCUUUUCUGCUAGUUUGUCGUCCUCUCAAUCUAAUUGGCAAGGCCAUUUUCAGAUUAAUUAUUGCAUUGGAAGCCAACAUUGUUCUGUGUCCUUGGACUUGUUUUUAUUUUUAUUUUUACUUCUAUUAUUUUAUUUAUUUUGUGUCCCCGAGCCAACGGGCCAUCACAAAUAUGCAAUGAUGAACUUUGCAUGAUCUCAGUUAUUUGCUGCCAUUUCUGUCAAUCAAAAAGCAAAUGUGUAUGGGUAUCUGCAGCUGCUGCUGAUACUCUAGAAGAGCCUCUAUUAAUGUGAAAAAUGGACCUUCGAAAUCGUUUUGCUCUGCCAUUGUAUAGAUGGUAAAGUUGGAAGAGUCAUUGGUAAGGCCAAUCGUUUUAUUUCUUUUAUAUUUACUCGUUGUCAUGUCUCUACUUCAACCAAUUAUGCUAAUAUGUAUACAUAUGUAGCGGGCAAUAUAUAAGUUAAUUUUAACUGGUGGGAUGGAUGGGCACGUCUUUUAUGUCUAAUUAAUUAAAUUUUUCAUAUAUGCGUUCAUUUUACAAUUGAUUAAUCAAUUAUAGUAAUAUUAUGAUAAUGGAUAACACUAGAUACAAACCCAAAAGAAUUUUUUUUGAGAAUUUACGUAGGGCAGGGGAGAAUGCAAAUUGGUGAAAAGAAGAAGGUAAAAUAAUAAUAAUAAUAAUAAUAAUAAUUUUAGGUUAAUUAUACGACUAACAUACCUGUAUAUACGAUAAUACCUCGAAUUAUAUCGUAAUCUCAGCCACUGACUUAGUUUGUGAUUGAUUAAAAGGGAAUGGAGGAUGCAUCUAGCUAAAUAGGGAAAUUGUAGAAAUUAAUUAUGUCUAAACAGUGGAUUAAACAACAUUGUAAGAUGAUCAUAUUUUAUUGACUUCGAUUAUCUUACUAAACAUCUAAGAUAUCUCAAUUAUAGGAUACGAUGGUGACACAUAUAAGAGGAAUAUAUAUAUUUUUUAAUAUAUAUAGCAGUGGCUGUGCUAUUUACCGACACACUUUCCAUUUGACAUGACGUAAAAAAGACUCAAAAUAGAUGUUUGACAAUUUCACCGUAAAAACACAUUCCACAUAUUAUUUAUUUUUUAUAGUUUCUAACAAGAGGGUCUAAUUCCACUUUCUCUGCCGACUACGAUUUCUAUUUUACUACCAUUAAUAUUGUGAUAAGAUUGACAAUUUUUUCUUGCUUUUUAAAGUUUGAUUUUGUUGUCCACUAAUAUUAAUCAAUGACCAAACUUUGGGUUGGUUGGAUUUCAUUACAACAACUUUUUUGAAUAUUUAGUCGCGUUAGAUGUGCAUGAUUGCAAGAAUAUCGCAUUUUAACUAAACCUUCUAAAAAAAUAAAUUUUAUUUUUGCCGAAUUUUAUUUGAUCACCUCUAGUCGUAAACAAUAUAUGGAUACGAGGAGUAUACAACAUACGGAUAUAAAGAGUAUUAAACAAAAAAAACAAAAUAAAUAAAUAACUAUAUGGUUAUUCAAAUGUUUUUUACUAUAAAAAUUUUACAUAAAUUUUGAGUCGAGUGAUAUGCAAACAAUAGAAAGAAAUAAAAAGGAGAAUCCAUGAAUAAUUUAUAAUGGGUUGGGAAUUGAGUGGGAUAUCAUUAUGGUGGAGAAGCCUUAUCAUAUUUUGAUUUUAAUAUUUUAUUUUUUAUGUGUCAACUGGCUAUGAUUAAUUAAUGGGUUUUGCCGCUUUGUCCCAGCCUUUUGAUUUUUGAUUGCAAUGAGAUGGGGUUAAAAUAAUGGACAUGCUUGACACCACUCACUAUAAAAAGUCAAAUUAAAAAAAAAAAAAAUCACAAUAGUGUAAAAUCUUGUGAAAACGACGCAAUCAUCCUACAGUUGUUUCUAAAGAGUCCAUGAGGAACUUAUUAGUUCCGGGUGCUAUUUGGUUCAAUUAAAAAGAUUUAUUCGAAGAGUAUUUUUUAAUGGAUUUAAAAUUUUAAAUAGGUGGGUCUAAUUGAGUAGUUUUCAAAUAAUUUUAUUUAGUUAGUUACUGAAUUUAAAUUCUAAAUUGGUAGGAAUAAAAAAAUUUAGUUAGUCUUUACUUCUCUUAGAUCCUUGGUAUAUCUUUUAAAAUAAAUAUUUGGGAGCGAUUAUUAUGUAUGUGAGAAGCAUAUUUUGCCUUUGACUAAGUGAUGGACUGCUACUCACACAUUGUUCAAGUCCCCAUCUAAAAUAUGGGGAUUCAAAUUUUUCCUCCCAAUUAAGAAUUAAUUGAGUGAAUGUAAUAUUCUUUCUUACGAAAUAUGAGUCAAAUAUUUUUAAAAGUCAUGAAUGGAGCAAAUAUUUCUCCAGUAUUAGUAAAGAUAGAAAAUUAGGUGUGUUUCAUAAUCAAAUAGAAGGGUGUACAAGAGUAAAAGAAGAGUAUUUUGUAAUACAAUAAGUGCAAUUUUUUUUUUUAAAAAAAAGAUGUACAAAUAGAUGUUUGGAUAAUUUUAAAAAUUAUAGGGACUAGUAAGUAAUUGGAUCAAAUCCUAAGGGAUAAAUGAACGUUUACUCUUCAUACUUUUUGAGAAAGGAAAAUCUUUGCAAAAAUUCCAAUAUACACACAACCUUAAAAAAAAUUAUAAUCGUUCUACUUAAGUUUCGUCAAGCGUAUUGCUAAUUCAUUUUUCCAUUAAACCCAUUUAGUGUACAUUAACAUCACAAAGAUAAAUAGUAAUUUAUGUCAUUUUUAUUUUUUGAGAAAAUUAGAACUUGAAUACAUAAUUUUCAGGGAAAAUUUAAACAAUAAUAAGUUGGAUUUGCCUAAUAAUUAUUGAUGGGUGGAAAAUAAUUUUUUUAGGAAAAAGAACAUCUACAUCCCCAAAGUUUGAGAAAAUGAUCAUUAAUACUCCCAAAUUUUUCAAAAGGGACAUUAGGGCCCCCUUUGACCAUUUUACCCUUUACCUCCAUUAUCCCAAAAAGUGGGUUUUAAAAUUU